AGGGGGGGGUUAGGGAGCUGUAUAUUUUGGUAAUUUUGGACUGGAAGUAGGUUAAGAAGUUGUUGCAUUUGGUGGUGGUGAAGGAUGAGGAGGAGUUGUCAUUUGGCUUUAGCAGUGUGUUGAUUGUUGAAAAGAGGGAUUUAGGAUUGUUGGAACUAGAUGUAAUCAGAUUGGAGUAGUAUCGUGAGCGGGCAGUGUUUAAGGCAUCUUUAUAUUGCUGUAGAAAAUCUGUGUAAGCUUGAAGAUGAACAGUUGGGCCAGAUUUCUUGUACAGUCUCUCAAGCUGGCGGUUACGGGUCUUCAUAUUAUGGAGCUGAGGGGUGUACCAGGGGGCAGUGUGGGAGAAGGAGACCAAUUUGUUUUUUUUAGGGGCCAGUUCAUCAAGACAGGAGGAAAGGGUAUUGUUGUAGUAGGAGACAAGUUCAGAGGGGUCCUCAGACAGCAAAUUUUGUGGUUAGAAGUGAGGUAAGGGCAUGAGGGUUGAUGGAUUUGAGAUUCCUGAAGGUUAUUUGACGUUUGAUUUUUGAGACACUAAGAGAUGUGUGUAAAUCAAAUGUGAUGGCCAGAUGGUCUGAUAUGUGCAGGUUAUGGCUAGUGAGGUUGUGAAUAUUGAUACCAGGCUUGACUUGGCGCCGCUCUGGUGGCAGCCUGCUACAGCAGCUCUCGCUCUUCGUUGAGUUAUUUUCUUCUUUAUUCUGUCUUUUUCAUUCUUUUUCUAGGUUAUUGUUAAAGGAACGGCUUCGUAAAUGCUCAGUUCAACUGUCCACCAUAGUGAUAGUGUUGAGCUGGCAUUUCUCAUAAUUUUUCGACGAUGUUUUCGACCGCACGCCGAAACUCUAUUGUUUACAGUAGGGACCAGCUGUUGGCGCUCCGCAACACAGCGGCGCUGCCCCCCGGGGAACCCCUCGAGGUUCCCCGGGAGGUAAAGAGGAGAAGACGGGGAAGCCGUGCCGGAGCCCAAUGCCGCGACAAGAGGAGGAGAUACAGACCAGUUCUCCCGUCCAUCAUCAUGGGGAACGUAAGAUCUCUCCCCAAUAAGAUGGACGAACUAGCGGCGCUGACCCGGCAUCAGAGGCAGUUCCGGGAGUGUAGCGUCAUGUUGUUUACGGAAACGUGGCUGGAUACACGGACCCCAGACACGAUCGCUACACUACACGGAUUCACACUACUGCGGGCGGACAGGACAAAGGAGAGCGGUAAGAGGAAAGGAGGCGGGCUAGCAGUGUUUGUGAAUGAUAGAUGGUGUAACUCUGGGCACAUCACUAUUAAAGAGCAACUCUGCUGCAAAGACAUUGAACUGUUAGCCGUUAGCAUGAGACCGUACUAUCUGCCGCGGGAAUUCUCGCACGUUAUCGCGAUAGCGGCGUACAUUCCCCCCUCUGCUAACGCCGACGCGGCCUGUGACGUCAUCCACUCUGCCGUGGGCCGGCUACAGACACAACAUCCGCAGGCUCUCCUUCUUCUCUCAGGUGAUUUCAACCACGCUUCUCCAUCCUCCACCCUGCCCACCUUCACCCAGUAUGUCACCUGCUGCACCAGAGACAAUAAAACACUGGACUUGUGUUAUGCCAACACCAAGGAGGCAUACAAUUCAACAGCACUUCCUCCCCUGGGAAGAUCAGACCACAACCUGGUACAUCUCCAGCCUGUGUACAAACCUCUGGUACGCAGGCUGCCAGCUGUGUCCCGCACAGUGAAGAGAUGGUCUGAUGAAGCCGACGAGGCUCUGAAGGAUUGUUUCAACACAACAGUGUGGGAGGAACUCUGCCAUCCUCAUGGGGACGAUAUAGACAGUCUCACUGACUGCGUCACAGACUACAUAAACUUCUGUGUGGAAAACACUGUACCCACCAGGACUGUACGGUGUUUCUCCAACAACAAACCGUGGAUUAAUCCGGACAUAAAGGCUCUCCUAAAGGAGAAGAAGAGGGUCUUUAAGUCAGGAAAUAGGGAAGAGCUGAAGGCUGUGCAGAAGGAGCUGAGGAGGAAAAUCAGGGAGGGGAAGGACUGCUACAGGAAAAAGAUGGAGGAACAGCUGCAGCAGAACAACGUCAGAGGAGUCUGGAGAGGCCUGAAAACCAUCUCUGGCCACAAGGGGCCCGACUCCCAGGCUGCUGGGGACCAGGUAAAGGCUAACGAUCUGAAUCUAUUUUUCAACAGGUUUGAUCAACCAUCUGCCCAUCCCCCGGCCCAGCACCUCCUGCCGAAACUUCUGCCGAAACUCCCCCCAUCGACACCUCGAGUGGACAGCCCUACCCCCACCUCCCCCUCCUGCACACAGCCAUCCCCCACCACUUCUCACCUAAUCAGCUCAACCUGCUCACUAACCUCCCCCCGCACACAGCCCCCCUGCUCCAACCUGACCCUCACAACAUCCCAGGUGAGAAACCAGCUCCGGAAGACCAAGGCGAGGAAGGCGGCGGGUCCAGACGGCAUCAGCUCCAGGCUCCUGAAGUCCUGCGCGGACGAGCUGUGCGGGAUUGUUGAGCACAUCUUCAACCUGAGCCUGAAGCUGGGGAGGGUGCCACAGCUGUGGAAGACAUCCUGCGUGGUUCCUGUCCCCAAGACGCCGCACCCCAAGGACCUCAGCAGCUACAGGCCGGUGGCACUUACAUCACACCUGAUGAAGACCCUGGAGCGGCUGAUCCUUGACCAUCUCCGCCCCCUGGUGGGUCCUUCGAUGGACCCGCUCCAGUUCGCCUAUCAACCUGGCACUGGGGUGGACGACGCUGUCAUCUUCCUCCAGCACAGAGCGCUCUCUCACCUGGAGAAACCUGGGAGCACGGUGAGAAUCAUGUUCUUUGAUUUUUCCAGUGCGUUCAACACCAUCCAGCCAGCACUUCUGAGGGACAAGCUGGAGAACACAGGGGUGGACCUGCACCUCACAUCGUGGAUACUGGAUUACCUCACCAACCGUCCACAGUAUGUGAGGACACGGGACUGUGUGUCCGACACAGUUGUCUGCAGUACGGGGGCUCCGCAGGGAACGGUCCUGGCUCCGUUCCUUUUCACCCUCUACACAGCAGACUUCUCCUACAACACACCAACCUGCCACCUGCAGAAGUUCUCUGACGACUCUGCAAUUGUUGGCCUCAUCACAGAUGGGGACGACUUGGAGUACAGAGGACUGACACAGGACUUUGUGGACUGGUGCCAGCGGAACUGCCUCCAGAUCAACACGGGGAAAACCAGAGAGCUGGUGGUGGAUUUCCGCAGGCGCAUCCACUCUCCUCCAACACCAGUGAACAUUCAGGGAAUGGACAUUGAGAUGGUGACAUCUUACAAGUACCUGGGUGUUCAUCUCAACAAUAGACUGGACUGGACUCAUCACACGGAAGCACUUUACAGGAAGGGCAUGAGCAGACUCUAUCUGCUCAGGAGACUGAGGUCUUUUGGAGUGCAAGGGGCACUCCUCAAGACGUUCUAUGACUCUGUUGUGGCUUCAGCCAUUUUCCAGGGAGUGGUCUGCUGGGGCAGCAGCAUUUCGGCUGCGGAUAGGAAGAGACUGGAUAAGAUCAUCAGGAAGGCCAGCUCUGCACUGGGUUGCCCUCUUGACCCAGUGGAGGUGGUGGGAGAGAGGAGGAUGUUGGCUAAGCUAUCAUCCAUGUUGGAGAACGACUCCCACCCCCUGCAGGACACUUUGACAGCACUUGAGAGCUCCUUCAGCGAUAGACUGCUUCACCCCAAGUGUGUGAAGGAGCGAUAUCGCAGGUCCUUUCUUCCUGCAGCUGUCAGGUUGUACAACCAGCACUGCUCCCAAUAGACUUCUACACUGCUAUGUACAUCUGUGCAAUACUUUGCUUUUUACAGUAUAGUUACUCCAGACCCCAUUCACUGUGCAAUAUCUGAUCAACCUCCAUGUGCAAUAUUAAGGGCUCUAAAUGCAAUAUACUAAGUUCUAUGUGAAGUGUUUCCAUAAUGCCUCAUAUUAACUCCCUAACAAGAUCUCAGUGUAUAGACUGGUCAUAUAUCUCAUCUCGUCUCAUAUUAUCUACAUACUGUAUUGUAUAUAACUCUGGGAAAAACUGUUGAUUUUUAUUAAUACUUGGGUCGUUUAUAUUGUUUAUUUUUCUAUAUUGUGUAUUUUGUACUGCUUAACUGACUCUGUACUCUUGCUGCUGUGCAAUACAAAUUUCCCCACUGAGGGACGAAUAAAGGCAUAUCUUAAUCUUAAUCUUAAUCUAGUGCAGACAAGAUCCAGGAUGUGUCCUCUGGUGUGGGUGGGGAAGUUAACUUGUUGAGUGAUGGAGAAACAGCUGAGAAGAUCAAGGAAUUCUGUCGCAGGUUUGGAGUUGGAAUUGUCAAUAUGAAGGUUGAAAUCACCGAGCAGAAGGAUGGAUGAUGAGAUCGCAUUUAAUUGGGUGAUGAGGUUCGUAAAAUCUGAUAGGAAAGAAGAAUUUGGUUUUGGGGGGCGAUAGAUGACAGCAGUGACAAGGGGGGAUGGACCGGACAGUUUGAAGGCAGUGAAUUCGAAGGAGUGAACAUUUUGGAGGGAUAUUUGAGUGACUUUGAUGUCCUUUUUAUAUAUGACUGCUGUGCCACCGCCACGUCCGUCAGGACGGGCGUUUUCAAGGUAAGUAAAUCCAGGAGGUGUUGCUUGGUUUAGGGAGAAAUAGUCCAAAGGUUUGUGCCAGGUUUCUGUCAAACAGAGGAAGUCCAGUUUAUUUUCAGUGAUGUAUUCAUUUAGAAUGAGAGCCUUGUUGUUGAGAGAGCGGACAUUUAGGAGGGAUAAUUUGAGAUUAUAAGAGUUCAUCAUUUGAUCUUGGCUGCGGGAGAGUGGGCGGAGAUUUAUCAAAUUUGCAUGUUUAUUGUUGUAAUAGCGGAGUCCAGUCGGGCGGUAUGACCAGUGGGAUGGGAUCUUGUUUGUAGGUGAAAGAACAGGCUGAAAAGUAGAGCAAGCAGUAGCAGGGUGCAGUGAACGCUGUGGCCUGCAGGAGGAGCUGUGGGUAAAAUUGUAGCCGGAUAUGGAAGAAGAAAAAGAGGGCGUGUCUGACUAAAUGUAAAUAGUCACGCACUGUGAACAAGCCAAGCUUGCUAGGAUGGAGACCGUCAGUAGUAGUCCGAUUUGAAUCAAACUUUACAUUUUGGCUGACAUUUGGAUUUGUGUGUAAAAGUUAACAUUAUAAUACGUAAAAGACCUGUAUGCGGUAUCCGAGGCAAGACGCUCAUCAUUAACUUACCAGGAAGUAAGAAAGGCUCCCAGGAAUGCUUCCAGUUCAUCCUGCCGGCGCUGCCCCACGCCAUCGACCUCCUGCGUGACGCCGUG